UACGGAGGAUGCAAGCGUUAUCCGGAAUGAUUGGGCGUAAAGCGUCCGCAGGUGGUGUUGUAAGUCUGUUGUUAAAGCGUGCGGCUUAACCGCAUAAGGGCGAUGGAAACUACAAGACUAGAGUGCGUUAGGGGUAGAGGGAAUUCCUGGUGUAGCGGUGAAAUGCGUAGAGAUCAGGAAGAACACCGGUGGCGAAAGCGCUCUACUAUGCCGCAACUGACACUGAGGGACGAAAGCUAGGGGAGCGAAUGGG
rnacentral:rRNA from 1 species